CCUCCAUCGCUGGUUUUUUUUCGUCUCUCCUCCUGCCACCCUCUCCCAUCGCUGGUUUUUUUUCGUCUCUCCUCCCGCCGCCGUCCCCAGCCGCCCUGCUCCGUUGUUGCUCCCUCCGCCUGCCUCGCCCCUGAUCCCCCAAGCGAGCCUCCGUCCUCCUCUCCAACCCCGGCCUCCACUCCACCGCGCACCACCGGCGACGACUCCUCUCCCAGGCCGCGGAUCCACCCGAGCAGCCGAGGCAGCGGUCAGAUCCGCCCGCCUUCCUUCACUCCCUAUUCGCGCUGGAAACCCUAGCCGCCUGACCAUGCCGAACGACCGCCGGCACGAGGAAUCUGCUGCUCCAGGGACGCCGCCCGCCACCGCCGCCGCCAUGAAUCCCCGGGGACGCCGCCGCCACCGCCGCGGAUCCCCAAGGGUGUGGUCGCUUUGCCCUGAUUGGAGGAGACGUGCUGGCCUUGCCUUGUUUGGAGGACGAACACAGGAAAGUGGAAGGAGUGAUGAAGAACUAAAACAUAGUUACAGUGGGCGUUUUUUAUAGGAACAAAACUGAAGAAUUUGACAUUAACAUAAUUUUAGUAUUAAAUUAGGUGUCCCUGGUUUUGUUAGCAUCAGGACAUGUUGACCUAAUUGUCCAUGGUUACACUCAUCUUCAAACGGCACAACUUGUUUUGCUGCACAUCUUCUCUUACCAUAUGAUGAAAACAGGUAUUCUAUGUUCCAUCCCUCUCUUAUUUCACACUGCAUUAACAAUGUUUUUUCAGUAUGUGGAUUUGCCUAACUUUGCCUUAUUGAUUAUUGAUUUUGUUACUGAUGUGUACACAAACCCUGCCUAAUUAAUUUAGUCUACUAUAUCUAACCAUAUGAAAUCUGAAAGUUGAUUCGGACUACUUGCCUGGUGGGGUGGUACAUUACCUUUGUUUUUUUAACUAUGAGAGCAGAACGACGGCGCCGACGUGGAUGACUCGGAGCUCAACCUUAUCAAGGGCCGCGAGCAGCGGUGACUUUCUUUUCCACGGGAAGAUGGCCAAGGGCGCCAUCAGCCACUUUGUUGUCGCCGUCGAAGAGUCCAAGCUCGUGUCCGCAUCGGUUGCAUUGGUGCCAAUCAGAACUUGCGCCCACCUUGAAGCCAUUAAUCCAGGGAAGUCAAUUUCAGUAUAUUCAGGACAUAGCCAGUAGCUUAGCAAUUUCCACGACUAUGUUUUGUUUAAAAUAAAGUUGUAUGCAGAAUAUGCAUGAUGCUCUCUUUUAUCAAAGUAUACCCAUGUGUCUAUUUUGUCAUCCAGUUGCAAUGCACGGGAACCUUCGAUUUGAUUCAGUUUUAUCUUCUACUGCAGAUAGGGAAAUAUGGACAUUGGAUAUCCAUUUCUUAGGUGUCAAUCUGGUGCUUAGGCUAUAUAAUAGUACAUGGCGGAGUUCUUCCAGCUACUAAUUCAGGUUAUCUGAUUUAUAGGUUAGGCACUUUGCUUUAAGCAUAGUUACCUAUUCGAUGGUGACCAGCCUUCCGUCAGAUGCGUCAUACAAACAAUUCAGGCGCUUCCUCAAAAUUUAUUACUUUAGAGACAUAGGGAUCCUGAGGUUGACACAGUUGAUUCUUGCUGCUGCUUAUGCAUCCCUGGACUUUAGUUAAAUGUAUAUUAUCUGGAUAUUUCCUAUACUUUAUCAAGUGUAGGGUUCUGAAAAUAAGGACAGCCAUUUGGUCCACCUUUUGCAGUUCAUCAUAAUAGCAUAUGAUGUUAAAAAAUGACAACUUGCCAAGUUACAGUUCUGAAAUAUUUCCUUUUGUAGCAUAUGUACCAACAAGAUGGUGAACUAGAUUCAAAUUUCAUACUCCUCUUUUCCGUGAAAUAUUUCCUCUGCAUUUUUAUUUGUCAUUUAUUUAUGCUCGUGUUGCAAGGUUCAGCCACUGCUUCAAAAUUGUAGGAAUUUCUUGUGGUCUCGAAUGCGAAUUUCUUGUGGUCUCGAAUGGAUGAACAAAGAGCGCUAGCUUUGUAAUGCCUGUGAGACAAUAUGUGGGAGAGUAUAUUGAUUUAUUUUUUAAGGGAAGCAAGUGACUUAUGUCAAUGUAGUCAUAUAGGCCAUGAGUUAUCUUCUAGCACAAAAUAUAGAAAUAGUUUCUUCUUUGUCUAUUCCUCUUUUUUCUUUGUUGCUUCUUUAAUUUCUCAAUGUUGAGCUUCCCUGUAUGAUGAUUGUAAUGAGCCAGAUUGGCAAAGACUGGACAUUCUAAAUUUGGAAGAAUGCAAUGAUCAUUUUUUUGUGCAGUUGUAAAUGCAACGCAUAAUGAAACAAAACAUAGAUACUCCUAGGCUCGUUCUUUCUACUGCAAUUAAAUACUUAUUAUGACACUUUUGUCAAUCUUUUAGGCAUGUUUUAUUAUCUUCUUCUGAAGGUUUGGAGAUGGUGGCCUGUGAGGAGGAUUUCAGGGGAGAUCGUGUGUGAAUAUAACAAAAGGUUGAGAUUUGACCUGCACUGUAUGAGAAAAGCAGGUUCAGGAGCUCCAAGCUAACAAUUGCCAGAGCUUUCAAAAGAUGUAAGAUUUCUACUUUCUAGGUUCUCUCACAAAAUUUGUUGUAUCCUGUUAUUUUGUAUGGCAGUCGGGUUUGUUGCAAAAUGAGCUAUAGACCUAUUGUUCAAUUUUGUUUGAUAUAGAAUAAUAUUUUGCUGUUCUGGAUGGAUUUUAGGAAUGCUUUUUUUAUGUGGGAGCGAUCUUUUUGAUUCAGUCUCUGUAGUGAUAUCGGAGAGGCACUACACUUUUGACAUCUGCCGAGAAAUAGUCAUUUAAACCUGCAGGUUUUUUACAAUUAAAGUGAACAUACUGUGAUGGUGUCAUUUUUUUUAAACAUCGAAGAGGAAUUUCAGGAAGGCACCCCUUUCUUCUUCAGAGGCCAGCGUAUUUGGGAAGCAGUCAUUAGGGAACUUUUAUCAAGAAGUAGCCUUCCUACAAAAAAAAGGGCAGUUGAUUCUUUAGAAGUAUUUGGAGCAACCAAAAUUGAAGUGAGAACACGAUACUUCACUGGUGUGUCCAUACAUAUGUCUAUAUAUACAGUGGAACUCCAAGUGAGUACGAAUCAAAUGAAUGAUGCCCCAAGAGCUCGGGUGCAUUUCAAAAUGUUCUAUUCCUCCCACAUUCAGCCAACUGGAGUAUCCUGCUCUCCCUUCUAGAGGUUCUACAGUUCAAUCGCUAUUUUACAAAUCAGGUGCUUGCAUUCUGUUGUAUCAAGAUGUGUAAAUAGUUAGUAAGUUGUCUGCUGAUUACCAAGUUCAUUGACUUAUGAAGGAACUCUAACUCGCGAAAGUCUACAUGGAAUGAGUUCUGUAGUUCUCAUAUAUUUUUUACUAAAAGAAAAAUGAAUUUACUUGGUUCAUCUUUUUGUUCUGUAGUAAUCGAUCAUAUCAUAUAGUUUUGAAGGAUCUGACAUUUUAAGUUGUCUAUAAGUAUGCAUGCUUGGGACAAGGGUGGAUGAAAUAUCAAUUGGGAUUAGUAGGGUGUAUUUUACUUGGUGUGUCCACGCGUAUGUUUGUUACUGAUCAUACCAAUAUAUAUCUUCUAGAACUUAUGUUGAGUUGUAUGUUACUCUGUGUUGUGUACAAUGGAUUCUUUCUUGCCUAUUUUCCCUGUCAUGACAAGGUUUCAAUGGCGUAUCUCCCGUAGCAACGCAAGGGCGAAGGAGGCAGUUGUCACCGACUGCGGGGCCGGAUGUGUCGGACGCGCGCACUCGCCCGCAGUCAACGCAGACAUACUUAGCGACCGUCCAUGGCGACGAGCGGCUCCGGGGUGUGGCUACGGGGUUGGGUGGUUCAAGCGGCCACUUCUGCAGCUACAUGGGAUUUCUUCAGGACCAUCAGCAGAAUUGUUCAGGAAGCAUACCGAGCAGGCCAUAUAUUCAACAAACCUCUGUAACGAUGCACUCUGUCUUUUCUUGAACACGCACCAGGUACAUCUCAAAACCAUUUUCUGUAAUCGUGGAACCAAGUUUGGAGCUGAAAUGUUUCCAGUUAUCCAGAGACAAAAAAAGGGCAGAAUUGAGUGUACGUGCUUGUAACUAUGAGCCUUCUUCUGUAUAAAGAUGUACACUACACACACAUAUUAUACAAUUUAUUAGAAGACAAUUCUUCUACUCA